rnacentral:rRNA from 1 species
UACGUAGGGGGCAAGCGUUAAUCGGAAUUACUGGGCGUAAAGCGUGCGCAGGCGGUUUUGUAAGCCAGAUGUGAAAUCCCCGGGCUUAACCUGGGAAUGGCAUUUGGGACUGCAAGGCUGGAGUGCGGCAGAGGAGACUGGAAUUCCUGGUGUAGCAGUGAAAUGCGUAGAUAUCAGGAGGAACACCGAUGGCGAAGGCAGGUCUCUGGGCUGACACUGACGCUCAUGCACGAAAGCGUGGGGAGCAAACAGG